rnacentral:rRNA from 1 species
UACGAAGGGGGCUAGCGUUGCUCGGAAUCACUGGGCGUAAAGGGUGCGUAGGCGGGUCUUUUAAGUCAGGGGUGAAAUCCUGGAGCUCAACUCCAGAACUGCCUUUGAUACUGAAGAUCUUGAGUCCGGGAGAGGUGAGUGGAACUGCGAGUGUAGAGGUGAAAUUCGUAGAUAUUCGCAAGAACACCAGUGGCGAAGGCGGCUCACUGGCCCGGUACUGACGCUGAGGCACGAAAGCGUGGGGAGCAAACAGGGA